rnacentral:rRNA from 1 species
CCUACGGGAGGCAGCAGUGAGGAAUAUUGGUCAAUGGGCGGAAGCCUGAACCAGCCAAGUAGCGUGAGGGAAGACUGCCCUAUGGGUUGUAAACCUCUUUUGUGCGGGGAUAAAGUGUGGGACGUGUCCCAUAUUGCAGGUACCGCACGAAUAAGGACCGGCUAAUUCCGUGCCAGCAGCCGCGGUAAU